GUUAGAGACGGCAGUUCCACGAUAAGUUGGCCACCAUGAAGAAAGUGGGCAGUUAUAAAGCAAUUAAGCAGUUUCUAAGCGGUUGAUCACGAAGAGAUCAUCAAGGGAAUAUAAAAGGAAGAAAAGACAUAGAGCAAAAGGACCCUGAAUCAAACACUCUCAAACAGAGAAUAUGUAAUUUCAAUUUCUUAGUUUAGACUUAAACAUUU
rnacentral:lncRNA from 1 species